AAUCAUGGCUCAGGAUGAACGCUAGCAGCAGGCUUAACACAUGCAAGUCGAGGGGCAGCAUAAUGGAUAGCAAUAUCUAUGGUGGCGACCGGCGCACGGGUGCGUAACGCGUAUGCAACCUACCUUUAACAGGGGGAUAACGCUGAGAAAUUGGUACUAAUACCCCAUAAUAUCAUAGAAGGCAUCUUUCAUGGUUGAAAAUUCCGAUGGUUAGAGAUGGGCAUGCG
rnacentral:rRNA from 1 species